CCCCCCACCCCUCCUGCGGUACCUGGAGGCUCAGGUCAGCUCCUUGGAGCCCCACGGCCAUUGCCCCCCAUUGAAACCAGCCCCGCCCCUCAGUGACGUCAGCUCCCUCCACGAGCCCCCCCCCCACCUCCCGGCCUGCAGGGGGCGCUGGCGCUCGGCCGAGCUCCUGGGGGGGGCGGGGCCAGAGGAGGGGGCGGAGCCUCGACCCCGGUCCCGGUCACGUGAUGAGGUCGGGGGGGGGUGGACCCCCCCCACAUCGCAGAGGUCACGUGGAGAACAACACCAACCCCCCCCAAGGAGGCUUCGGAAGGAUGCCCUGAGCCGUGAGAGCCUCGUGGUCUGAGCCCCACAUCUAUGGGGCACCCCACACAUCUGCCCCCCCCCCGACCCCCAAUGGCUGUUUUGGGGCCAUUUCAGGCGAUUUUGGGUCAUUUUGGGGGGGGUUCUUUUUUAUGGGGUCAAAUAAAGG